GACGAACGCUGGCGGCGUGCUUAACACAUGCAAGUCGAACGGUGACGAUCAAGCUUGCUUGGUCUGAUCAGUGGCGAACGGGUGAGUAACACGUGAGUAACCUGCCCCACACGCUGGGAUAACCCCGGGACACCGAAGCUAAUACCGGAUAUGACAUGCCCCUCUAUGGGGCGUGUGUGGAAAGUCUUUUCGGUCUGGGAUGGACUCGCGGCCUAUCAGCUUGUUGGUGAGGUAAUGGCUAACCAAGGCGACGACGGGUAGCCGGCCUGAGAGGGCGACCGGCCACACUGGGACUGAGACACGGCCCAAACUCCUACGGGAGGCAGCAGUGGGGAAUAUUGCACAAUGGGCGAAAGCCUGAUGCAGCGACGCCGCGUGAGGGAUGACGGCCUUCGGGUUGUAAACCUCUUUCAGCAGGGAAGAAGCGCAAGUGACGGUACCUGCAGAAGAAGCACCGGCUAACUACGUGCCAGCCGCCGCCGUAAUAC
rnacentral:rRNA from 1 species